UACGUAGGGUGCGAGCGUUGUCCGGAAUUAUUGGGCGUAAAGGGCUCGUAGGCGGUUUGUCGCGUCGGGCGUGAAAACGCCGGGCUUAACUCGGUGCUUGCUUUCGAUACGGGCAGACUAGAGGCAUGCAGGGGAGAACGGAAUUCCUGGUGUAGCGGUGAAAUGCGCAGAUAUCAGGAGGAACACCGGUGGCGAAGGCGGCGACCUGGACAAGUACUGACACUCAACUACGAAAGCGUGGGGAGCAAACAGG
rnacentral:rRNA from 1 species